rnacentral:lncRNA from 1 species
AUUCUAGUCAACAAAAUAUUAAUAAAAAGGGAGAAAGGCAGGGUUACUUAGCUGAAAAUUUUUCAGAGGAUAAUGGUCAUGAACUUGGCAUUGAUAACAGUGCUGACACAAAGAAAGUUCAAGUUUCAGACCAGUUAUCUUCUCUGGAAUUUGAUGAAUCACUAUCAAAACACCAUGGAAAUAAUGAAGUACAGGGACAACAUAUUACUUUGGAUUCUGAAGAAGAAAGAGAACUCACUGAUGUGGAAUAUACUGAAAAUUCUUCUGACAAAGGUUUGCAUGAUGUCUCUCAAGAUUCCAUAAAAGAUAAUUUUUCCAACUCAAAUGUUGAUGAUGUUGUGUUAGACAAAAUUGUAGUGAAUAGCAAAGACAUAAAUAAUUUUUCCCAGGACAGAAUAAAACAGCCAGAGAAUUUUUCACAACAUAUUUCAAAGUGUGGUGAAGAUAACCUAGAACACAGUGAGCAAAUGAUAAAAAAUUAUGAGCCAAAUAAACCCCAAAAUGAAAAGAGAGCAAAUAUUUUGGCUAACCAAGAAUCAUCUUCAGUAGAUACGUCUGAGGAAAUAAUACAAAGUGAGAAUAUAAUUCUUGAGCAAGACAGUCACACAUUAAAUUAUUUACUGGAUGGUUUGCAAAACAAAGGCAAUGAAGUUCCACAAUCUUCUGUGCCAUUUCCACAGGAGCAAAUAGAUGAAGACUACAAUAAAAGAGAACAUAUUUCAAAUCCAUUUGAACAUCAUUCUGAUAAUACUAGAAUUAGUGAUGAUUCAUUAACAGUGAAUGUUCUUGGGGAACAAGUCCUAAAAGAACAGAUUAUAGCACCUGAUGCUAGUGCUGAUACUUUUUCUGAAGAGGAGCUGCAAUCUCAACAAAUUUCCAUGAAUAUACCACGCCAUAAGAAAGAGCCAAUAGAUAUAGAACUGGAUGAUUCAUCUUCCCAACAUGAGCCUCUGAUAUCAGAACAUGGGACUGAGGAUAAUACUAAUUCAGAUCCUGGAAAGAACUGUAAAAAUCAGAUGCUACAUAAUAAAAGAAAAGAGUCUUCCAUAUUAUCAGAUUUAGAAGUGCCUGAGCCCAGCAGUUCAAGUCAUCAUGAAGAUACGGAAAGCAUAAAUACAGAAAAUGAAUCUGAAUAUCAGAAAAUAUCAUCAUAUCCUCAUUCGAAUGACAAUGUAAAACCAAAGCUACAGGACGUAGCAGAAUCACAGAAAAUGUCUGAAGAAAGUUUAGUUACAACAAAAACAACUGCAGAAUCCAAUCAUAUCCUACUUACUGAACACGAACAUUUAUUCCAAGGACAAUCUAGUGUAGUUGAAAACUCUGAAAAAAGAAAGCUAGCAUUACAUUUAGAAUCUUUUGAGUCUACUGAAUUGCAAACCCAGGCACCUCUUAAAAAUCAUGGUGGCUGUAAUCCUAACAAGCCUUUGUCACAUAUUCCCCAUUAUCAUGAUUCAGCACACAACAACAUAGAACGUGUACCUUCGCAAAGUGAGCAGGGCUUGGAUACACUCCAUUUAAAUGCUGUGAAACAUAGAGAUCUGAAUGGUAAAAGACACAUUGACAGGGAAGAUGCUCUUCCAACUGAAAACAUAAAUAAUAUAGAAAAAUUAACUUUGUCUGAAAAAGCAAGAGAUAGUAAGGAAAAAAGCAAAAAAGAUACUGAUGAUCAGAAAAAAACAGACUCCCAAAAUAUAAAUAAUAAAAAUGGUGUCAUGACAGAGGGGGUGGUGACUAGUAUUUUUACAAAAACUUCACAGUUUCUUGGAAGUUUGUUUAGUAAAAAUAAUAAUGGAGACCUAAGAAAAAAUUCUGAACACAAAAUUCCUGUCCUAGACCCAAAUGAAAACAGGGAAGAUAUUAGGAUAAACCAGAUAAAGGUAGAAUUUAAUAAUGUGCAAAGGAGAGAGGCUGAGUUAAAGGAAAAUGAAUCUGAACAAGAGAAAGUCACAGUUCAGACUGCAGAAGCUACAAAUAAUUUAAACAUAG